rnacentral:rRNA from 1 species
AAUGAACGCUGGCGGCGCGCCUAAUACAUGCAAGUCGAGCGAGAAGACGUAGCAAUACGUUUGUAAAGCGGCGAACGGGUGAGGAAUACAUGGGUAACCUACCCUAGAGUGGGGAAUAACUAGCCGAAAGGUUAGCUAAUACCGCGUACGCUCCUUGGACUUCGGUUCAGGGAGGAAAGCGAUGCCGAGGGUAUCGCGCUCUUGGAUGGGCUCAUGUCCUAUCAGCUUGUUGGGAGGUAACGGCUCACCAAGGCUUCGACGGGUAGCUGGUCUGAGAGGACGAUCAGCCACACUGGCACUGCGACACGGGCCAGACUCCUACGGGAGGCAGCAGUAAGGAAUAUUGCGCAAUGGGCGAAAGCCUGACGCAGCGACGCCGCGUGGGGGAUGAAGGUCUUCGGAUUGUAAACCCCUUUCGGGAGGGAAGAUGGAA